rnacentral:rRNA from 1 species
AGAGUUUGAUCCUGGCUCAGGAUGAACGCUAGCUACAGGCUUAACACAUGCAAGUCGAGGGGAAACGAUAUUGGAAGCUUGCUUCCGAUAGGCGUCGACCGGCGCACGGGUGAGUAACGCGUAUCCAACCUGCCCAUCACUUGGGGAUAACCUUGCGAAAGUAAGACUAAUACCCAAUGACGUCUCUAGAAGACAUCUGAAGGAGAUUAAAGAUUUAUCGGUGAUGGAUGGGGAUGCGUCUGAUUAGCUUGUUGGCGGGGUAACGGCCCACCAAGGCAACGAUCAGUAGGGGCUCUGAGAGGAAGGUCCCCCACAUUGGAACUGAGACACGGUCCAAACUCCUACGGGAGGCAGCAGUGAGGAAUAUUGGUCAAUGGGCGAGAGCCUGAACCAGCCAAGUAGCGUGAAGGAUGACUGCCCUAUGGGUUGUAAACUUCUUUUAUAAAGGAAUAAAGUCGGGUAUGCAUACCCGUUUGCAUGUACUUUAUGAAUAAGGAUCGGCUAACUCCGUGCCAGCAGCCGCGGUAAUACGGAGGAUCCGAGCGUUAUCCGGAUUUAUUGGGUUUAAAGGGAGCCUAGAUGGAUGUUUAAGUCAGUUGUGAAAGUUUGCGGCUCAACCGUAAAAUUGCAGUUGAUACUGGAUAUCUUGAGUGCAGUUGAGGCAGGCGGAAUUCGUGGUGUAGCGGUGAAAUGCUUAGAUAUCACGAAGAACUCCGAUUGCGAAGGCAGCCUGCUAAGCUGCAACUGACAUUGAGGCUCGAAAGUGUGGGUAUCAAACAGGAUUAGAUACCCUGGUAGUCCACACGGUAAACGAUGAAUACUCGCUGUUUGCGAUAUACAGCAAGCGGCCAAGCGAAAGCGUUAAGUAUUCCACCUGGGGAGUACGCCGGCAACGGUGAAACUCAAAGGAAUUGACGGGGGCCCGCACAAGCGGAGGAACAUGUGGUUUAAUUCGAUGAUACGCGAGGAACCUUACCCGGGCUUAAAUUGCAGAUGAAUUACGGUGAAAGCCGUAAGCCGCAAGGCAUCUGUGAAGGUGCUGCAUGGUUGUCGUCAGCUCGUGCCGUGAGGUGUCGGCUUAAGUGCCAUAACGAGCGCAACCCUUGUUGUCAGUUACUAACAGGUCAUGCUGAGGACUCUGACAAGACUGCCAUCGUAAGAUGUGAGGAAGGUGGGGAUGACGUCAAAUCAGCACGGCCCUUACGUCCGGGGCUACACACGUGUUACAAUGGGGGGUACAGAGGGCCGCUACCACGCGAGUGGAUGCCAAUCCCAAAAACCUCUCUCAGUUCGGACUGGAGUCUGCAACCCGACUCCACGAAGCUGGGUUCGCUAGUAAUCGCGCAUCAGCCACGGCGCGGUGAAUACGUUCCCGGGCCUUGUACACACCGCCCGUCAAGCCAUGGGAGCCGGGGGUACCUGAAGUGCGUAACCGCGAGGAGCGCCCUAGGGUAAAACUGGUGACUGGGGCUAAGUCGUAACAAGGUA